AAUCUCUCUACUUUUUAAAUUUCAAAAAAGCAGCUCCAACUAUUAAAUACUGUUAAAUCUAAGGCUGUGUUUGGUAACCAUGAAAAUAUUUUCCGGAAAAUGUUUUCCUAAUUUUACGCUGUUUGGUUACAUGAAAAUAUUUUACAUAAGUAAAACGUUUUCAGAAACCCGGUAAAAUGGGAUGCUUUUUAUGUAAAAUGUCUUACGGAUUUUUUUUCCGUAAGACAUUUUCCAAACUCUCACUUUCCCUUGCGCCGUUCAUCUUCCUUCUUCUUCAUCCAUCUAGGUAUUUUCCACUUUUACUUCUUCUGUUCUUCUUCUUCCAUUUUUCCUUUCGCAUAAUCUCUUCUAAUGGUAGCUUUUCGGUCUUAGGUGCUUUCUCUUUCGCAUACAACUGGUAUCAUCCUUGCGUCGUUCUUCAUCUUCUCAUCCAGGUAACUUUUCUCCUCUUCUUCUUCUUCCAUUCUUCAUCUUUAAUUGAAAGUGUAAAAACGUUAUUUAAGCAAAUAUACAGAGGACAGGAGCAUUUAAGGGUUUAGACAAAUACACCAAAAACCUCACGCUUAGGCUUCUUGUUUUUCCCUUUUCUACUAAUACCCACUUACCCCAUCUCUACAAUCUGCUUUUUUUUUUCAUGUGACAGUUUAAAACAUUGAAUUGAAGGUUAUUGACUGGAUUUUCUAUUUCUGGAUUUUAAACAGUUUAAAAUUAUAUAUGCUUAUCUCCAUUUGUUUAAGUUAAAUGAGGUUAGUUGAUUAUCACUUGGAAGUUGUCAAAAAAAAAAAACUCCUUAAAUCAUGAAACAAAGACAUUUGUGGAAACAUUAAUGCCAUAGUGAUGAACUUAGAUAUGCUGAUUAACGAUCUUGACAAACUAGCAGAGGGAAAGGGAGCUCAAUUCAGAGGAGCUUACUCUUAAAGAAAAAUACCCAGCAAGCUUCCACUAAAAAAUCCUAAUAAGGUGUGGAGGGUACAACCGCUCCACAUGCUUAAGACUUCAUGGAGUAUAGAAUUUUAAAGGAUAUAAAAAAAUACAGGUUAAAUAUAUCCUAUUCCAGGUGCUUGAAAUUCUAAAAUUCCAAUUUGGAAAUCUUCAAAUUUUCAAAACAUUAUAUGAUUAAUUUAGGAAAGGCAGUAAAUUCAUUUUUAUGGAAUCUACAAAUCAAGUUCAAAUGAUUCUAUGGCCGUUCCAAAGCUAACAACAUAGUACAAAAUCUAACGAGGGACCUCAACUAAUAGUCUUUACAAGAUAGAUAUCCUUUAGUGAUAUAUAGACUAAUUCCAUUUUGAUCUGCAGGAAAAAAAACAGUUGAUAAAUAGCUUAAAAUUUAGACUAUUACACAAGAAACACAAGGCAGUAUGCAGUUUAUUUCUGAGUUUAUUUGUGUUUAGGCAGUAUGCCUUUGCAAGUUAUAUGACUAAAAUGCUGUUAAAAGUAGCAGUGGUUUUCUUUAUUUUUUCAUCUCUAUUUUUUCUUUUGUCAUUUUGUCUGAAUUGAUAAUUAUUGAGGACGAACUUUACUUACUAUUUUUGAUCAUUUGUAACUGUUUAAGCUUCAAAUUUUGAAUAACAAAGAGGUAUUUUUAAGGUAUCUUAUGAUGGCCAUUGCAUUCAAAGCUACAAAGAUUGGAAGCUUUAAAAUGAGAACUUGGAAUAGCAUGGAAACAAUCACCUAGAGUGACUUGUGGGAAUUAGAUUUUUGUCUGGUUUGAGGUUUGUUCAACAGAUAGGUGUAAUUUGGGAUUUUAUGGUUCUGUUUGUUGCGAUCUGUCUAUGUUUAUGUUUUUAGGAUGGGUCAUUUUGUACCUGUUGAUUACUUUGUUUUUAUGCAGCUUUCAUAGUUGUUGUACUAGCAAAAAAAAUAAUAAGUCAAAUAAUAUAUAUUUUAUUUUUUAAGUUCAUGGUUAUUGGCAGUGUCUGAAUAUGCUUACUAGAUUUUUCAUUUUAAAAUAUGAUUUAUGAUUAAAAAAAAGUCAUGUAAAAGUGUGUAGUUUUUUGCCUUAAGCAAUCGGUAGUUCAAUUGUCUUUUGGUCUACUAUUGUUAUCAUCACAAAAUUAACUUGUAAUGGUCUCAAUUGAAAAUUAUUGUCAAUUUCAUUUUGUUAAUAGCAGAAACAAAAAAUGAAACCAUAUAUAUAUAACUAUCAAGUAAGUAUUUUUAAUUACAUGACUAUCAAGUAAGUAUUUUUUAAUUAAAAAAAUAUCAUAACAAUAAAUUUAACAAAAAGAAUUUAUAAGUGUUAAUAGUUGGACCUAAAUUUUGAAAUCUGUAAAGUAGAGAGACUAAAUUCCAUGAAAUAAAAGUACAAGGACUAGAUUCCUAAAUUUCGAAAAGUAUAAGGACUUCUGGCAAAUUUUAACUUUAAUUUUUUAAUAUUUUUACUACACCUUUUAAGACAUUCAUUACAUUCUAAAUUCGCUUCUAGAGUCUAAAAAACUUCACAAAAAGUGUAUAUGAUAAUUUUUCAUAAAAAAUAAAAUUAAAAAAGCUAGUGAUUUUUGCAUGUGGAAUUAGCCUUAACAUAUUGUUUUAGAAAAUCUUGGUUAAGCUUUAUUAUUAUUAUAUAUAAUUCACACUUUUGAUAAAAAUAAAUUAUUCUUACACACAUUACAAUUUAAAUCUAGGAUGCAAGCAAUGGAGUAAACACUCAUGCCAAAAUGUCAAACAUUGAGGCCCUAACUUUUCUUAAAUGGGAUUGAUUCAAUUAACAGGUCAAUUUCUCCAAAGUAAAAAUUAUAUAUAUUUUAUAAAAGUAGAUGUUCGAGAUCAACCCGAUUAAUCCAUAAGUAAAAAAUAGCGGAAGAAAUUGAGAAAUUGAAUGCACAAAUUUAAUGUGGAAAAAUUCAUCUAAAUAGGAUAAAAAAUCACUGGCAAAGAUAAAUUCACUAUAAUGGCAAAAAAACGAAAAGUGCAAAAGAUAGAAAUAAAUACUAAACCCUGAAAACAAAGAACCCUCAAAACGUAAACACAAAAUUCUCUAAAUAUGUUAUGAAUUCUAAUUUCUAAUGGGUAUAUUUUCUAAGGUUGUAAAAGAACAUAUUUAUAGGCUAAAUUCAUAGGUCAAAUAAUAAAAAAAACUAGACUAAUUAGAGUUUGAUUGAAACAAAUAAAUAUAGUUUAACUGGAAGAUUAUUUCUCAAAUUUGAUUGAAAUAGGAGUCAUACUCAACAAAUCUCCACAUUGACUCAUAUUUCCAUAACGCCAUCUUUGCCAAAACCCACCACGAGCCUAUCUUGAACUAUGCAGGGGAUUAACUUAGUCGAAUCUAUGCUUAGAAACUGGAAGACUUUAGCCUUCGACUUGUACACUUCCAAAUCAGAACUAACCUGGGUCUAAUUUUCGCGAACACAGAGCCCUAACUUUUCAAAACCUGCAUCCAAAAGAGAACCUCUCUUCAACGAAAUGAUCAUACAUUUUUCCCUCCUCUGAUCAAGUUGCCUCUACUCCAAAUGAGUUGAGUUCGACUCUGUAACGGACGAAGGGCGUUCGAUUUCAUCGGUCAUUGUAGAACCUUCCAGAAUAUAAAGACCGCCGAUCCUUUUACCUUUUAACAAAAUAAGAGCUCCACGAGAUACUUUAAUUCCGCUCGACUCGAUGUUGAUUCUGUAUCCUUUCGAGUCUAAAAUACUUAAUGAGAUAAGAUUCUUUCGUAAUUUAGGUACAUACCUGACAUCUGAGAGUGUUCUAAUAGUCCCAUCGUGCAUCCUAAUUUUAACAGUACCAAUACCAUUUACCUUACUGGAUGAAUAGUUUCUCAUGUGCACAACUUCACCUUCAAUCGAACUGUACAUGGAGAACCAUUCUCUAUUGGAACACAUGUGGAAAGAACAUCCCGAAUCUAGGAUACACUCGGACGUAAGUUUAGAGUUAUCGAUUGUUGACACUAACAAGAAAUCAUCACCACUUUCAUUGGCCAAAUUAGCACCAGCUACAUCUUCUUCGUUACUCUCAUCAUCUCUUUUAUUUCGUAGUUUAUAACAAUCUACUUUGACGUGCGUAACUUUUUACAAUAGCGACACCUUUUGUCUUGCUUUUUUGAUGCUACCAAAACGGAAGCUUGCCUAUCUGCUUUGCUAUCCGAACCAAACUCAUUUUUUAGUUUGUCUCUACUCAACAAAUGACCCUUCACAUCUUUGAAUGAGAGUUUGUUUCUACCAUAAAUCAGGGUUUCCUUAAAAGACUUGUAUGAAAGGGGUAAAGAGCAGAAUAAUAGCAUAGCCUAAUCUUCAUCAUCAAUCUAAACUUCAACAUUCUUUAAAUAAUUUAAGAGAGUAAUGAAUUGACUGAUAUGAUCUCUAAGAAGUUCACAUUAGUUCAUGCGAAACGUAAAUAGACGUUGUUUCAACACUAAAUGGUUAGUUAAAGACUUAGUCGCAUAAAGAGUUUCUAAUCUUUUCCACAAGGCAGAUAAGGUUUUCUCCAUCAAUACCUCCUACAAUACCGUAUUCGUGAGGCACAACUGGAUUGCAGACAAGGCCUUUUCAUCAAGCUCUUCCCAUUCUGUUUGAUUUAGAUUCUUAGGCUUUUUCCCGAUAAUAAUCUUUUUUAGGCCAGUUUGAACUAGAAUUGCCAUCAUUCGAGCUUUUCACAGAUUGAAAUUUGUGACACUAUCAAACUUCUCAAUUUCAAACCUUGUUGCUGCCAUCUUUGAACAAGUUGAUCUACAAAAAUUGAACUAGCUUUAAUACCACUUGUUGGGGAUCGACCCGAUUAAGCAACAAGUAAAAAAUAAUGGAAGAAAUUGAGAAAUUGAAUACACAGAUUUAACGUGGAAAAAUCCUUCUAAAGAGGAUAAAAAAUCACGGAAAAAGAUAAUUUUACUAUAAUGGCAAAAGAACAAAGAGUACAAAAAAUGGAGAUAAAAACUAAACCUCGAAAACCAGAAAAUAAAGAACCCUCAAAAUGUAAACACAAAAUUCUCUAAAUGUGUUAUGAUUUCUAAUUUCUAAUGGGUGUAUUUUCUAAGGUUGUAAAAGAGCCUAUUUAUAUGCUAAAUUCAUAGGUCAAAUAAUAAAUAAAUAAUCUAGACUAAUCAAUGUUUGAUUGAAACAAAUAUACAAAGUUUAACUGGAAGAUUAUUUCUCAAAUUUUAUUGAAACAUGAGUCAUACUCAACAGUAGAUAUGACAAUAAAUUGACAAGAAUAGUAUACAUCUAAAGGAAUACGGAUAAAAGUUUCUGAAACCUAAAGUUGUAAUUCAAAAUGUCAAUUUCGAUUUCGAAGAUAGAAACACAUUAACAAAGGAUAGAUAAAUGAAAAUUAAGACUUGCCAAUUUUGAAACAACAAUGGAAAUUUAUGGGUCAAACUUAAAAUUAUUUAUGGAUUGUGUUGUACUCAUGGUAUCAACAUUAUGCAUGUUAGUUUAAAUUUAACAAAGUCCAAAAUAGUAGAAUCUUAACUCGAUAAAAAAGUAAAUAAUGUAUUCUCAUUGACAUUGUAUGGAUUAUGAUAUGGUCAUGAGUCAUUUCUCUAUCGACAAAUGAUUUUGUCAUUAUUAAUAUAAAUAAUAAUGAUUUUUUUAUGGAAAAUAUAAUGGUGACUAUGAGAUGAAAAAUGAUCAAAUUGGGUAUGGAUUUAAUCUAAAGGGAUCAUGGAUAUCUUAUAGGGUAACACAUGAAAUGGAUUAAAGUUUAACAUAACUAACUUUCAUAAUGGUAUAUAAUAAGGAGUUUAGUCACGGUGCUUUUAGUGAAUUGAAUCCAUAACUAAAUAACUUUCUAAUUAAUAGGUGAUGAGUCAAAAUUUAAUUACAAGUUAUUUUACCCCUAAUUACCUGUGUUCAAUCCGUCCUUCCAUUAUCUCAUUAUAGCUUUGAAUGGAUUGCAUGUAAGAACUUUGAAUGAUUUGAUAAAAUGAUGAAUGGUAAAUAGAUUACAUGAAUUAGUAUAUGCAAAUAAAAAUACAUUUGCUAGAGAAGGCAAGAUAUAACUUAUGAUUAAUUUAUUUUCUUUUGAAUUAUUAUUUAAUUGAAAGAAUAAAUUUAACAUUGAGUUCAAUGUGAAAAUUAAAUUAUUUAUUCAUUAUGGUCUAAUUUUGUAACACCGUCCAUCCGAUGCGAUUCACCAAGUCUGAGUUUCGGGUAUUACUUCACAUAAAACUUAACAAAAUUUUCAAAAUAGAAGACAAAAAUUCAUCACUGAAAACAUUUCUAAUUAAUUUGAUUAAAGAAUCCGUACUUAGAGAAUAAAAACAGUAUUUGCAAAUAACAUAUCGUAUUGGUCUUGCUAAAAUUUUAUUAUAACACAAAAGUUACAAAACACAGAUUCAAAUGGCGUAGUCCUACUAAAUGCUAGUUCUUCUUAUACGCCCACUGUAUGCGUAGUAUCCCCUUAUACUGCUUCUCUGGCACAAUUCUGAUAUCGUCUCCUCAAGUACUUACACUUACACAACAAUUCCUAAAACAUAAACAUAACGCUAGUAAGUUCAAAGGAACUUAGUGAGUUAUGAACACAACUUGCCUUUUUAAAUUUCAUGAAAUUCUUCAUCUUGAAAAAAUGGACUUUCAUGUAUCUAUCUUUGGCGAAUACCUUUUCAUUUUCAGUUUUAUACUUUCAUACUUAUAGGCCUCUCAUCAUUCAUACCAUAUCUUCAUUCAUUCAACUAUUUGGCUAGCUCUAGGUCUCAACAUUUUGGCACCACACUUUUUAUUUCCCUUCAAACAACUUUCAACAAUUAUUCUCGAACAGUUAAUCGCAAGCACUAUUCUUGGCGGAUAUCACUUACUGAUCAUACUAUUGGUGUAACAGCCUGUUUUCAAUGAAAAUCAGAAUAGUGGUUUUGGGACCACAAAUCCGAGGUCAUAAAAUUUAUUUUAAUAUUAUUUUGUGAUCUACAUCAUGAUAAUAUUAUAGUAUAAAAAUUUCGUUAAGAAAUUUUACCGUUUGCAUGUUCAAUUUGAUAAAAAGGACUAAAUAACGUAAAGUGCGAAAGUUGUGUUCUAUUAGCUAAAUGUAUUAAAUAGCUAUAGAACUUUAAUGUGGAAGCCCUUAUUUGGUAAUUAUACCAUUAAAGAGAUAGUGGAAUAUGAUGGCUUGACAUUUUGUGUAAUAAAUAAUGUGUAUAAAGGUUAAAAUUGUAAAUUGGUUAAAAGUGACAAAAUAAAUUAAAUAAAAGAAACAAAGUGUCAUCUUUUUCACUUCCUUCACCAGUCGAAUUUGAAGACUUAGGAAGCCAUUGGAGAGCUUCAACAUUCAGCCAUCUCUCUCUUGUGCAUGUAGGUGUGUUUUGUCCCGUUUUUAAUGAUUUUUAUGUUUUCAGGAUCGUUGUAGCUUAACCUAGCUAUCCUGGGGACUAAUUCGCCAAACUAUUAAAGUACAUGAGUUUUUCCAUUGAUGAAUAUGUUAAGAUUUUGAAUUUUAAUGGUAGAAAAAGAAUGGUUGUUGUUAGAUAAACAACUUUUGUUAAUUGAUUUUUGUUAAAAUUGUCAAUUUUGGGCUAAAUUGAAAAAUGUGAAAUAUAAUUGUAUAAUUUGUGAAUUAAUGAAAUGUAUGGGCUGCUAUGAAUAUAUAUGAUAUUCGAAUAGGCUUGGGUAGGGAGGAAAUUACAUGAAUAUCAUUUUCUGAGCCUAAGGACUAAAUUGUAAAGAAAUCAAAAGUACAGGGGCAAAAUGAUUAUUUUGCCAAAAUAUGAUUUUUUGACUAAAUUGAUUAGAAUGAAAUUUGAAUUAGUUAAAUUUGAUUAUAUAGAUCAAGAAAGGCAAUGUGCGGAUUUAGAUCAGGAAAAGGAAGUACAAGAUUAGUUGAUUGUUUUUCUCUAUACGAGUUUGAGGUAAGUUCAUAUGUUUAAUAAGCAUUAAAUUAUAUGUGUUUUAAAUGUUUUAUUAUUAUAAUUGUGAUGAUAUGAAUUCACAGAAUUAUUCGACAAAAAUUCGGCAAAGUAUGGAUCCCGGUUGAACCUUAGGAAUAGAUAGGAUACAAAUGACAUGUCAUUAGGGGUUACCAUGUUUUGGGUGCUAGUCUUGUACGUCCUACCGGUGGCUGAGUUUCUGGCAUGUGUUGCGGUUACUCUACAUCUUGUGUGAGCAGCACCGUGUAGCUACGUCUUGACUGACAACUUGUGUGAGCAGACCCAGAUAUGGCUCGAGAGUGAUCAUCGAUAUGAGAUAUGAGAUAGUAGUGGUUUUGACCAUGUAUUGGCACAUAAUGUGUGAGCUACCAGUGUAUCCGAUAGUAUUCCAAAUGGUUCAACGGGCAUAGUUCAGUUAUGAGGCUAUAUGAGUUCGAUACGAGUGUACAUGAAUAUACAUGAAGUGCGUGAAAAUGGUAUAUAUUUAUGAUAUAUGAAUACAUGGUAAACUUGGUUGAUGAUUAUGUGUUAGGCUUUUUGGCCAAAUUGAGUUGUGAUAUGCUUUGUUUUACUCACUUAAAUUGUGGUUCAACGGAUAUAAUAAAAAGGAAAAGAUCGACAAAUUCUUUGAUUAGAAUUGCUAUUGGAAAGCUAUGAGUUUUAGGAUGAUUGGAAUAUGUUUAGUCAUAUGCUUGAAAUAUGAAUGUACAUAAGCAAUGUGACUUAUGUUAUGAUGUUUUGAAAUGAUUUGCUAGUUUAUGUGAUAUUUAAAAUUAAAAGCCUAAUGUUGUUUAGGCUAAGGCCAAGACAUGUUGGAUUGACUUAAAUGGAUUAUACUUAUAAAUUGAAGUGGCAAGCUUUAUUUCUUUGAGUUAUGAACUUACUAAGCAUUUCAUGCUUACUUUGUGUUAACUUCUUUGUAUCUAGUUAUCGGAAGCUCGUUCAGGUUGGAAGGUGUCGGAGAUAUCAUCACACUAUCUAUCGGCUAUUUUGGUACUCAUGGUUUUAUAAUUUUGGUUAUAAUGACAUGUAUAAUCAUUUUUGGCUAACAAUAGCCUAUAUGUUCUGUUAUGUUUUAGCCAAAUGAUUUGGCUUGUAUUUUGGGUAUAUUUUGUUGUAUAUAUAUGUGUAAUUAGCCUUAUCAUAUUUGAUGUAUGUUUAUCAUAUGAGUAUGUUAGUUUAUAAAUUGGUAUUUUGAGUACCAAAUGGUUGAGCUUGAUAGGUGGCAUGUAUGUUAAGUGUUGAUAAAGUGAUGCAUAUAUGUAUUUGAUCAUUUAGGUAUGUUUGGGAUACAAAAUAUGUAUGUUUAUAAAUGGUCAAUUAGGGUGCCAUGGGAAUCAUGGUUGUAUGUGUUGAUAUUAGGGGUGAGUGUUCGAUCAAAUUGAAUCGAAUCGAAUGAAAAAAUUUCAAGUUAAUCAAGUUGACG
rnacentral:lncRNA from 1 species